GAUGAACGCUAGCGGCAGGCCUAAUACAUGCAAGACGAACGGUAAGUUGAGUAGCAAUACUUAGCCAAGAGUGUCGUACGGGUGCGUAACACGUAUGCAACCUACCCUAUACAGGAGGAUAGCCUAGGGGAAACCUGGAUUAACCCUUCAUAGUAUUAUUGGAUGGCAUCAUUUGAUAAUUAAAACUGAGGUGGUAUAGGAUGGGCAUGCGUCUGAUUAGUUAGUUGGCGGGGUAAUGGCCCACCAAGACGAUGAUCAGUAGGGGUCUGAGAGGAAGAUCCCCCACACUGGCACUGAGAUACGGGCCAGACUCUACGGAGGCAGCAGUAGGGAAUAUUGGUCAAUGGAUGCAAGUCUGAACCAGCCAUGCCGCGUGCAGGAGAAGG
rnacentral:rRNA from 1 species